rnacentral:lncRNA from 1 species
GUUGACAAUAGAAAAUUAUAUUGGGAAGUUGUCAUUUCUACAGUAAAACCAGCUUUUUUUUCAAGUAGUACGAAUUGUGACUUCGAUUUAUCUGUGGAACUAUUUGAACAGAAGGUAAAGCAGUAAUUUUGUUGUAUUUAGAAAGCAAACAGAGUCAUAUUUUUAAAAAUAUAGCGCAUUGAAUAUAAAUUUGAGCAUCAUUAAAAUGUGUUCGCUAUGAUGCCAUUUUGUCUCCGGUAUAUACGGAGUUCUGCUUUUAUACUUGUGGAUAUUCGAAUUUAUUUGGCUCAAAAACACCAUUACUUCAAUAUCCCUUUCUUGUUUUUCCUUGGAUAGGUUUUAACAAGAUAGAACUCUAGAUCCCUUGGGUCCAAAAACGCUAGAUUAUAAAAUCCUGAUGUGACUUGAUACUACAAAUAGAAUAUGUCUUGUGAUGUAAUACUACAAAUAGAAUGACAAACUUCAAUGAAUUGAUAAAGUGUAAGGAUUCAAGGAUAGUGUUUAAAGUUGCUUCAUGUGCAGAAGCUGAAUUACUUUAGUUUAUACACUGUUGUCGGAGACUGUCUAUAUAUAUCUUAAUAUUUGUGAUUUAAUAGCAGGAUUAAUUAUUACUUUAAUUAGGGACGAACAUUGCAUGAUUGACACAUUUAUAUUAUUAUGAAGAGGAGUUAAAAGAUAGGAAUGUAGUGACUGUGUGACUGUGAGAGAGACUAGACCGCGUAUACAACUGUGAUCGAUUUUCAAUAAUAUAAUUUUAUAAAACCGAAUUUGCUUCGUCGAGAGUUUGAUUGUUCAAUACCUUUUAGUAAGGGUCAAUUUACUAAACUGUAAUGUCGAUAUCACAUGUUGAUGACUUUAAUACUAGCAACAAGUGGUCUGUCCUGCUUGUUUAUAAUACUUUAGAGUUUGGACAUUAGAACAUUGUAAUUGCCUGACAGAGAUUGUUAGGGCCUGUUUGUAUGGAAGCCGGGCUGGCCCGCUUAGCGAGACAGCCCGGUAAGGUAGAUACGCAGGAUGAUUUCUCUUGUGUUUAUUUGAGAAAAUUUCAUCCUGCUUACCCGGGACAAUGUUGUUGUUUUGACAUUGUUUUGACAGUUGUUAAAAAUAGCUUGCAGCAGUAUCGUUGAACUUUCAUCCUGGCAACUGGGCUAGCCUGCUUGUGAUUGUUUAUAUGGAGAAAUUUCCAUCCUGGUCUCUGCAACAGGGCCUCCCGCUUGUACAUAGAAACAAUUUUAAUUAUAAUUUUUACUAUAAAAAUAAGUAGACAGCGAGAUCUCACUUACCGGGCUGUCUCACUUAGCGGGCCAGCCAGUUUCGAUAUAAACAGGCCCUUACACAACUGCUAAAAGCUGCAAGUUUCUUUAAAGCAAUAUCAUCUAUAUCACAGAAUACAGUUUCUGUAGUGACAUACUUGUGUUUUUUCUGUCUUUAAAGUGUCUUAUGUUUGUAAUAUUUUUGUACAAUACCUUUUUGAAAUUGUUGAUACUGGUCUCAUUGUAACUCAGUAGUCUCAGUUAUUCCUUCUCAAGAAAAAUACAAAAACAAAGCU